rnacentral:rRNA from 1 species
ACUGAACGCUGGCGGCAGGCCUAAUACAUGCAAGUCGAACGAGUCGCGCACGGGUGAGACAUGUGUGUGAACCUGCCAGAUGGAGGGGGAUCACUCCUGGAACCAGUAGCUACUCCCGCAUACCUUCUGAUGUUCCCAGGUGGGAUUAGCUAGUAGGUGGGGUAACGGCUCACCAAGGCGACGAUCCCUAGCUGGUCUGAGAGGAUGACCGGCCACACUGGAACUGAGACACGGUCCAGAAUCCUACGGGAGGCAGCAGUGGGGAAUAUUGCACAAUGGGCGAAAGCCUGAUGGAGCCAGGCCGCGUGUAUGAAGAAGGUCUUCGGGUUGUAAAGUACUUUCAGCGAGGAGGCGGUACUCGAAGAAGAAGCACCGGCUAACUCCGUGCCAGCAGCCGCGGUAAUAC